GACGAACGCUGGCGGCGUGCCUAAUACAUGCAAGUCGAACGAACCGCGACUAGGUGCUUGCACUUGGUCAAGGUGAGUGGCGAGCGGGUGAGUAACACGUGGGUAACCUACCUCAUAGUGGGGGAUAACAGUCGGAAACGACUGCUAAUACCGCAUAGGACAUAGGAUCACAUGAUUCUGUGAGGAAAGGUGGCGCAAGCUAUCGCUAAGAGAUGGACCCGCGGUGCAUUAGCUAGUUGGUAGGGUAAAGGCCUACCAAGGCGAUGAUGCAUAGCCGACCUGAGAGGGUGAUCGGCCACAUUGGGACUGAGACACGGCCCAAACUCCUACGGGAGGCAGCAGUAGGGAAUCUUCCGCAAUGGACGCAAGUCUGACGGAGCAACGCCGCGUGAGUGAAGAAGGUCUUCGGAUCGUAAAGCUCUGUUGUUAGAGAAGAACAGCGCAUAGAGUAACUGUUAUGCGUGUGACGGUAUCUAACCAGAAAGCCACGGCUAACUACGUG
rnacentral:rRNA from 1 species